AUUGAACGCUGGCGGCAGGCCUAACACAUGCAAGUCGAGCGAGCGGCGGACGGGUGCUUACUGUAUGGGUACUGCCCGAUCGAGGGGGAUAACUACUGGAAACGGUGGCUAAUACCGCAUACUAUCGGAUAACCCAUAUGGGAUGAGCUAGUAGGUGGGGUAAAGGCUGACCUAGGCGACGAUCGCUAGCUGGUCUGAGAGGAUGAUGAGCAACACUGGGACUGAGAAAAGGACCAGAAGCCAAGGGAGGCAGCAGUGGGGAAUAGUGCACAAGGGGCGAAAGCCUGAUGCAGCGAUGCCGCGUGUAUGAAGAAGGCCUUAGGGUUGUAAAGGACUUUAAGCGGGGAGGCGUUACCCGCAGAAGAAGCACCGGCUAACGCCGUGCCAGCAGCCGCGGUAAUAC
rnacentral:rRNA from 1 species